UUUAGCUCACAGGAGACACAUUCUGAUGCACUGCGUUUAGGGUUUCAGCGCAUCAAUCGAAAUUCAGCCCGUAACAAGGAAACACGUUUCUUAUUCCUGUAACAGAAGGGGAAAGAUGGGCAGACCUGGCAGCGGCUCCGGAAGAGCAGAAGAAAGCGGAAGGGCCCUUCACCAGCAAGCGCCACUCGCCCCCCAGCAAUGAAAAUAACACGCAAUGACCAGGGGGUAGAAUCCAUCACUCUCUUCACGCAGUGUUAGCUGCUACCAAUCACACAUUUAUCUCUUUCUGGUGCUCUCCGAGCUUGGAUAGAUGAACUUGGAUCCAACGUUGUCUUAGAACCAAGACUUUCCACUGACCAUGUCACAUCUCCAGGCUUCAGAAUGGCUGAACCGGGCCAGCGAGAUCCUCUAGAUGAGACUUGGGAGUAUCCACCUGGAGGUGGAAGGGCAGCCAAAGCUCCGGCCUGGAGAAGGCUUGGAAUCCACUGACUUUCUUGUUCACUUGUAACCAGGGGCCCCGGAGAGGUUCCAGCAUCGCGCAUUCAUAGCCUGCAGCGAACUCCUGUGUGUUGGCUCAGCAGACGUGUUCUGAGAGCGUUCCACAUGCAGGUGCUGUUCUCGGACUGGAGGAGGUGAACAGAUCUCUGAAGUUUAAAGGGAAGAGGAAAGGGACAUAAAUGUAAGCAAAGUUCCUGUGAUUUUUACAUGCGGAUAGCACUAUGAAGAAAAUAAAGCGCAGUAAGGAGGUUGGGGGCCGGGGAAUCAGACAGGCAUGGAGCGAACGCGGAGGAUGUGCCUUUGGGGAGCACGUGAAGGAAGUGAAGGACAGGCCCUCCGCAGGCCUGCGGCCCCCAGAACCCUCUGUGCUCAGCGUUUGCUGAACUGCAGGUGGAAUGAUGAUGAACCUGCAUCUUGAGGAUUCGACUUCCUAACACACAGGGCUUUGCAUACAAAGUUGAUCAGCCACUGCUUUACUGGACACAUCGCAACAAGGUAACAAAGUCCUGUUAUCAAAUGAUUAGUGAAUACACAACUAUUGUUUCCACUGUACCCGUUGGUUCCCCUAUUAUUUGAAGUUUUAGUGACUUUUUAGUACUCAUAAACAAAGUUAAUAGAGACGUUGAAGGCACACAGACUGUCAGUUUU